GACGAACGCUGGCGGCGUGCUUAAUACAUGCAAGUCAACGACUUUUAGAGUAGCAAUAUUUUAAAAGGAGUGGCGCACGGGUGAGUAACACGUAGGUAAUCUGCCUUCAAGACUGACACAACUCGUCGAAAGACGGGCUAAUAUCAGAUAAUGCAGCGGCUCCGCAUGGAGACAGUUGUUAAAGUACAAGCGCCUGAAGAUGAGCCUGCGGUCCAUUAGCUAGUUGGUAGAGUAACAGCCUACCAAGGCAACGAUGGAUAGCUGGUCUGAGAGGAUGAUCAGCCACACUGGAACUGAGACACGGUCCAGACUCCUACGGGAGGCAGCAGUAAGGAAUAUUGCUCAAUGGCCGAAAGGCUGAAGCAGCAACGCCGCGUGAAGGAUGAAUGGCCUUGGCCU
rnacentral:rRNA from 1 species